UAACAGGAUUCCCUCAGUAACGGCGAGUGAACAGGGAAAAGCCCAGCACCGAAGCCUGUGGCCAUUUGGUUACUAGGCAAUGUGGUGUUUAGGUCGUUCCACAGAGGUUCUGCUCCACCCUAAGUCCAUCAAUGAGUACGGUAGUAUGGACAUGGCCCGCAGAGGGUGAAAGGCCCGUGGGGGUGGAGACAUAAUGGCCAGAGCCUCUCUGGGUAGACCUUGGAGUCGGGUUGUUUGUGAAUGCAGCCCAAAGUGGGUGGUAAACUCCAUCCAAGGCUAAAUACUUGCACGAGUCCGAUAGCGAACAAGUACCGUGAGGGAAAGUUGAAAAGUACUUUGAAGAGAGAGUAAACAGUGCGUGAAACCGCUCAGAGGUAAACGGGUGGAGUUGAACUGCAAGCUUUGAGAAUUCAGCUGGUGAGUAUGGUUUGAGCUGGGUUAAUUGGUGAACUCCGGAGUCUGCGUAUUAGCAGGUCUUCAUCUUCGGAUGGAGAUGCGCGGUGCACUCAUCAAGUGUUGUGCGCUCCGGUUUUUAUACCACCUGCUCGUCAGUGCACUUUCUCAAAGUAGUCACCUCGAUCGGCAUUGCUGUCCGGCGAACACGGUUAAACCUUUUUUGCAUUGUCUUGACCGGCUUUGUAAAAUCGGGAAGGCAGGUAGCUCGUUGGCUUGCUUGUAGCUCGCUACAGGCGUUCGGUCUUCGAGUGUAUGCUGACCGUACUAGCAUUGUGCAGUAUGUCGGAGACGGCGGCUUGUGGUGUGUGCAUGUGUAAUCAUUUGCUGACUUGUCCGGGUUUGGUUAUUUAGUUGCCUGUAAAAGCAGGCCUGGUGAUGGCCCGGGUGUGUUCGGUGGAUGUUUGCAUGUGUUUCACUAGUCCAAGGGCCAAUAGUCUGAGGUGUAGUGGUAGACUUUCCACCUGACCCGUCUUGAAACACGGACCAAGGAGAGUAACAUGUGCGCGAGUCAUUGGGCGUUACGAAACCCAAAGGCGAAGUGAAAGUAAAGAUCUGACUUGUUCAGAUUGAGGUGAGAUCCUGACGUUUCCCAUGCAUGGUACUACCCAGCACAGAGCGGCAGGCGCAUCACCGGCCCGUCCCAUGACAGUUGUCUUUGGCAGUUUUCAGUCGGGGCGGAGCAUGAGCGUACAUGUUGAGACCCGAAAGAUGGUGAACUAUGCUUGCGCAGGUUGAAGCCAGAGGAAACUCUGGUGGAGGACCGCAGCGAUUCUGACGUGCAAAUCGAUCGUCAAACGUGAGUAUAGGGGCGAAAGACUAAUCGAAC
rnacentral:rRNA from 1 species